rnacentral:rRNA from 1 species
GAUGAACGCUGGCGGCGUGCCUAAUACAUGCAAGUCGAGCGAACAGACGAGGAGCUUGCUCCUCUGACGUUAGCGGCGGACGGGUGAGUAACACGUGGAUAACCUACCUAUAAGACUGGGAUAACUUCGGGAAACCGGAGCUAAUACCGGAUAAUAUAUUGAACCGCAUGGUUCAAUAGUGAAAGACGGUUUUGCUGUCACUUAUAGAUGGAUCCGCGCCGCAUUAGCUAGUUGGUAAGGUAACGGCCUACCAAGGCGACGAUGCGUAGCCGACCUGAGAGGGUGAUCGGCCACACUGGAACUGGAACACGGUCCAGGGUACUACGGGAGGCAGCAGUAGGGAAUCUUCCGCAAUAGGCGAAAACAUGACGGAGCAACGCCGAGUGAGUGAUGAAGGUCUUCGGAGCGUAAAACUCUGUUAUUAGGGAAGAACAAAUGUGAAAGUAAAUAUACACGUCUUGACGGUACCUAAUCAGAAAGCAACGGCUAACUACGUG